CUCUUUAGCUUGGCAUUUGAAUCGGCUUUGCUGUUGCGAAGUAGAGUGGCGGCUUCGGCUGCCGAGGGUCGAUCCAUUUGGGAAAUGUUGUGUACUUCGGUAUGCAUCUCAAUUGGACCUGAUAUCAGGCAAGAUUACCCGCUGAACUUAAGCAUAUUAAUAAGCGGAGGAAAAGAAACUAACAAGGAUUCCCCUAGUAACGGCGAGUGAAGCGGGGAAGAGCUCAAGCUUAAAAUCUCCGUGCAAGUUUUGCGCGGCGAAUUGUAGUCUAUAGAGGCGUGAUCAGUGUGGGCGCUUGGGGGCAAGUUCCUUGGAAGAGGACAGCAUGGAGGGUGAUACUCCCGUUCAUCCCUGAGGUUGCUCGUGCGGUACGAUCCGUUUUCUUUGAGUCGCGUUUGUUUGGGAAUGCAGCGCAAAGUAGGUGGGUAAAUUCCAUCUAAAGCUAAAUAUUGGGUGCGAGACCGAUAGCGAACAAGUACCGGUGAGGGAAAAGAUGAAAAGGAACUUUGAAAAGAGGAGUUAAAGA